CUUUGUCGAGUUUGCAGAAUUUGGUCUUGGCGGGUUGAGGAUCUCUUGUAUUUUGUGCGCUCUGUUCCUGCUCCAGGACUGACCAGGCAGUUCUGCCACCUUCUAGGAGUGUGAAAUUGGGAAGUAAUUCAAAAUGUAUGUGCCUAGCAUUCCUUUUAUGUAACAUGAGGGGAAUAGAAGUACCAAACCGAUGCAGUUCAGUGGAGAAUUAAAUGAGAUAGUCACAAGUAAAAGGUGAUGGUCACAGGAAUGAGGAAAGAAUGACU
rnacentral:lncRNA from 10 species